AUGUGAAAAGAUACAUUAACUGAAGAGGAAGCUUGGUUUUAUGUCGGAGAAACUGUUUUGGCAAUCGAAUCCAUUCACAAACAUAACUAUAUUCAGAGGAAAAUGAUUUCACUGCUGCAAAGAACUUAAGUGGGGCUCUUCAAAGUGACGGACGCCCUACUGUACCGAGACGCACUCAACAGGAGCAACUGCAACAUUGGCAGAGAAAUAGGAGGAUGCUGGCGUGCCACUGGAGAUAUGAUGAUGGGCAUCCAAUUAUGAGUGACGAAGGGUUUCCGGCUUAGAUCGGAAGUGCAUGUCAUGGCCUAUGCGUAACUACAUGAUUAGACGCCUGGACAACAUAUGAAAGCCUCGAUGGUAAGU